GACGAACGCUGGCGGCGUGCUUAACACAUGCAAGUCGUACGGUAAGGCCCUUUCGGGGGUACACGAGUGGCGAACGGGUGAGUAACACGUGAGUAACCUGCCCACAACUUUGGGAUAACGCUAGGAAACUGGUGCUAAUACUGGAUAUGUGCUCCUGCUGCAUGGUGGGGGUUGGAAAGCUCCGGCGGUUGUGGAUGGACUCGCGGCCUAUCAGCUUGUUGGUGGGGUAGUGGCCUACCAAGGCGGCGACGGGUAGCCGGCCUGAGAGGGUGACCGGCCACAUUGGGACUGAGAUACGGCCCAGACUCCUACGGGAGGCAGCAGUGGGGAAUAUUGCACAAUGGGCGCAAGCCUUAUGCAGCAACGCCGCGUGCGGGAUGACGGCCUUCGGGUUGUAAACCGCUUUCAGCAGGGACGAAGCUUUUUGUGACGGUACCUGCACAAGAAGCACCGGCUAACUACGUG
rnacentral:rRNA from 1 species